GAAGAACCUUACCUACCCUUGACAUGUCAGAAAUAUCGCAGAGAUGUGAUUGUGCCCGAAAGGGAAUCUGAACACAGGUGCUGCAUGGCUGUUGUCAGCUCGUGUCGUGAGAUGUUGGGUUAAGUCCCGCAACGAGCGCAACCCUUGCCAUUAAUUGCCAUCAUUUAGUUGGGCACUUUAAUGAGACUGCCGGUGAUAAACCGGAGGAAGGUGGGGAUGACGUCAAGUCCUCAUGGCCCUUAUGGGUAGGGCUUCACACGUAAUACAAUGGUCGGUACAGAGGGUUGCCAACCCGCGAGGGGGAGCCAAUCUCAGAAAGCCGAUCGUAGUCCGGAUUGUAGUCUGCAACUCGACUCCAUGAAGUCGGAAUCGGUAGGA
rnacentral:rRNA from 1 species